UAUAUAGUCCCUUCGUCCAGAAAUACUUGUGUCAGAAAUGGAUACAAAUGGAUGUAUCUGGAACUAAAAUACAUAUCUAGAUACAUCCAUUCCUUGAACACGUAUUUCCGGACGGAAGGAGUGUACG
rfam:Triticum aestivum genome assembly, contig: Triticum_aestivum_CS42_TGACv1_scaffold_569862_7AS